GCCACGCGUUGGGGUGAGCGCAGGUUUGGGCACUCGGAAGCCCUCCUUCGUCCCCACAACCAGAGGGAGGCCCAUAUCCCCUGCGGUGGCCCGGAGGUGAGCCUUCCCUCCCCAAGGCCCCGGUGGGGCUUUCUCUCUUACCAAUCGCACAGCCACUGUCUCCUGCAGCAGGGAACUCAUGUGCUCUUCCCUGCGUGUCAUCUUCCUCCUGCUACAGACACGGGGAGUUUGGUGUGUGAGAAGAGGCCUUGGCCAGCACCAGGACCUCACCCCCUCCCCACGCCCCCC
rnacentral:lncRNA from 1 species